rnacentral:lncRNA from 1 species
CUUCAACAACUAGUUCUUUAGGUGUCUUUUCAACCGUUGCUUCUUCAGGUUUCUCUUCAAGUGCUAGUUCUUCAGCUGUUUCCUCCCCCUCUAACUCUUCAGGUGUUUUUUUAGCUGUUCGUUCUUCAGAUUUCUCUUCAGCCGCAGGUUCUUGAGGUUUCUCUUCAAAUGGUAAUUCAAAUUUCUCCUCAACCGAUGGUUCUUCAAAUUUCUCUUGAAUAACUGGUUCUUCAGGUUUUUCUUCAACUGCUGAUUCUUCAAGAUUUUCUUCAACAUUUAAAGAUUGAGCAACAUCAUUACUGGUAUUGCAUGGAAUUUCACUGCCAUUUUUGCUGUUCAAGUCUACAACUAGCAUAUUCUGCAAAAGAGUUUAAUGUUUCACUUAGUCUUUCAAUAAAGAAGCAGACGUGAAUCAUUUCACAUACAUAACUAAUAAUAUGGAUAGCUAAUAAUAUGGAUUAACUUUUAUGACAGAUUUUCCACAAGAGCUACCUUUUCAGGUUUCUCCUCUUCAAGUGAUGGUUUCUCUUCAAAUGAUAGUUCAUUAGGCGUUUCUUCCUGUGUUGGUUUUUCAUGUGCUUCUUCAGUUACUGGUUUUUCAGGUUUCUCCUUAGUUGUUGGUUCUUCGCUUGUCUCCUCAGCUGAUUGUUCUUCAAGCUUCUCUCCUGUUGUUGAUUUUUCUGGUUUCUCUUCAAUUAUCGGUGGUUCAGGUUUUUUCUCAACCGGUGAUUCUUCUGGUUUCUCCAAAACCAUUGAUUCUUCAUGUUUUUUUUCAACUACUGACUCUUCAGUGUUUUCCUCAACUGAUGCAUAGUCAGCAAUAUCGUUGUUGGUAUUGCUUGGAAUUGCAUUGUCUAUCUUGUCCUUUGAGUUUACUUUUGGCAUAUUCUGCAAUGAAGUUUCACGUAGUCUUUCAAUAGAUAAACAAAUGUAAAUUUGUUGCACAUAUAAAAGCUAAUAUGAUGGAUAAAAUUUGUGCCAGUGUUUAAUCCUCACCUUCUCCUGAAGAGCUUCCGCUUCAAGUUCCUCCUCUUCAAUUGCAGGUUUUUCAUCUUUCUCUCCAACAACUAGUUCUUCAGGUUUCUCUUCAAGUGCCAGUUCUUCAGGUGUUUCCUCCUUUGCCAGCUCUUCAGGUGUUUCCUCCUUUGCCAGCUCUUCAGGUGUUUCUUUAGCUGCCGGUUCUUCAGGUUUCUCUUCAACCUCCGGUUCUUGUGGUAUUUCCUCUACUUGUACUUCAGAUUUCUCCUCAAUUGUUGGUUCUUCAGGUUUCUCUCUAACCGCUGCUGCAUUAGGUUUCUCUUCAUUGGCUGGUUCUUCAGGUUUUUCUUCAACUACCGAUUCUUCAGGAUUUUCCUCAAUGUUUGGAAAGGGAGCGACAUCAUUAUUGGUAUUGCAUGGAAUUUCACUGCCAGUUUUGUCAUUCAAGUCCACAACUAGUAUAUUCUGCAAAAGAGUUUAAUGUUUCACUUAGUCUUUCAAUAAAGAAGCAGAUGCGAAUCAUUACAUAUACAUAACUAAUAACAUGGAUAAACUUUAUGACAGUAGUUGACCCUUACCUUUUCCACAAGAGUUACUUUUGCAGGUUUCUCCUCUUCAAGUGCUGGUUUCUCUUCAAAUGAUAGUUCAUUAGGUGUUUCUUCCCGUGUUGGUUCUUCAUGUGCUUCUUCAGUUACUGGUUUUUCAGGUUUCUCCUCAAUUGUUGGUUCUUCGCUUGUCUUCUCAACUGAUGGUUCCUCAUGCUUCUCUCCCGUUGUUGAUUUUUCGGGUUUCUCUUCAGUUGUCGAUGGUUCAGUUUUUUUCUCAACCGCUGGUUCUUUUGGCUUCUCCAAAACCAUUUCCGAUUUCUCUUCAGUUGGUGGUUCUUCAUGGUUUUUUUCAACUACUGGUUCUUCUCUUUUUUCCUCAACUGAUGCAUAGUCAGCAAUAUCGUUGUUGGUAUUGCUUGGAAUUGCAUUGUCUGUCUUGUCCUUUGAGCUUACAAUUGGCAUAUUCUGCUAGAAAAAUAUAAAGUUUCAUGUAGUCUUUCAACAGAGAAACCAAUGUAAAUUUGUUGCACAUAUAAAGCUAACAAAUAUGAUGGAUAGACUUUGCGAGAGUGUUUAAUACUCACCUUCUCCGGAAGAGCUUCCGUUUCAGGUUCCUCUUCAAUUUCUGCUUUUUCAUCUUUCUCUUCAACAACUAGUUCUUCAGGUGUCUCUUCAACCGUUGAUUCUUCAGGUUUCUCUUCAAGUGUUAGUUCUUGAGGUGUUUCCUCCUUUGCUAGCUCUUCAGGUGUUUCUGUAACUGCCGGUUCUUCAGGUUCCUCUUCAGCCACCGGCUGUUGACGUAUCUCCUCUACUUGUACUUCAGAUUUCUCCUCAAUUGUUGGUUCUUCAGGUUUCUCCUUAACCGCUGGUACAUCAGGUUUAUCCUCAUUGACUGGUUCUUCAACUGCUGAUUCUUCUAGAUUUUCCUCAAUGUCUGGAAAGCGAGCAACAUCAUUAUUGGUAUUGCAUGGAAUUUCAUUUCCAGUUUCGUUAUUCGAGUCUACAAUUAGCAUAUUCUGCAAAAAGAAUUUAAUGUUUCAUUUAGCCUUUCAAUAAAGAAGCAUAUGCGAAUAACAGUACAUGCAUAACUAACAAAAUGGAUAAACUUUGUGAUAGUGCUUGAUCCUUACCUUUGCCAAAAGAGUUACCUUUUCAGGUUUCUCCUCUUCAACGGUUGGUUCUUCAUGUUUCUUUUCAAAUGCUAGUUCCUUGGUUGUUUCUUCCGGUGUUGGUUCCAUAGGUGUUUCUUCAGUUACUUGUUUUUCGGGUUUCUCUUCAAUUAUUGGUUCUUCGAUUGUCUUCUCAACUGAUGGUUCUUCAAGAUUUUCUCCCACUGUUGGUUUUUGGGGUUUCUCUUCUAUUGUUGGUUGUUCAGGAAUUUUCUCAACUGGUGGUUCUGCUGGAUAUUCCAAAACCAUUGAUUCUUCAGAUUUCUCUUCAAUUGAUGGUUCUUCAUGGGUUUUUUCAACUACUGGUUCUUCAAUUUUUUCCUCAACAGAUGCAUAGUCAACAAUAUCAUUAUUGGUAUUGCUUGGAAUUGCAUCGUCUGUCAUGUCCUUUGAGUUUACUUUUGGCAUAUUCUGCAAUAGAGUUUCAUGUAAUCUUUCAACAGAUAAACAGAUGUAAAUUUGUUGCACAUAUAAAGCUAAUAUGGUGGAUAAACUUUGUGACAGUGUUUAAUCCUCACCUUCUCCUGAAGAUCUUCCGCUUCAAGUUCCUCCUCUACAAUUGCAGUUUUUUCCUCUUCCCCUUCAACAACUAGUUCUUCAGGUGCCUCUUCAGCCGUUGAUUCUUCAGGUUUCUCUUCAAGUGCUAGUUCUUCAGGUGUUUCCUCCUUUGCCAGCUCUUCAGGUGUUUCUUUAGAUGCCGAUUCUUCAGGUUUCUCUUCAGCCAUCGGUUCUUGAGGUAUUUCCUCUACUUGUACUUCAUAUUUCUCCUCAAUUGUUUGUUCUUCAGGUUUCUCUUCAGGUUUCUCCUUAACCACUGGUACAUCAGGUUUCUCUUGAUUAACUGGUUCUUUGGGUUUUUCUUCAACAGCCGAAUCUUCAGGAUUUUCCUCAAUGUCUUGAAAGCAAGCAAUAUCUUUAGUGGUAUUGCAUGGAAUUUCACUGCCAGUUUUGUUGUUCGAGUCUACAAUUAGCAUAUUCUGCAAAAGGAAUUUGAUGUUUCAUUUAGCCUUUUAAUAAAGAAGCAGAUGUGAAUAACAUUACAUGCAUAACUUACAAAAUGGAUAAAUUUUGUGACAGUCCUUGACCCUUACCUUUUCAGGUUUCUCCUCUUCAACAGCUGAUUCUUCAUGUUUCUCUUCAAAUGCUAGUUCUCUGGGUGUUUCUUCCCGUAGUGCUUCUUCAUGUGCUUCUUCAGUUACUGGUUUUUCAGGUUUCUCCUCAAUUGUUGGUUCUUUGAUUGUCUCCUCAACAGAUGGUUCUUCAAGCUUCUCUCCCGUUGUUGAUUUUUCUGGUUUCUCUUCAAUUGCUGGUUGUUCAGGAAUUUUCUCAACAGCUGGUUCUUCUGGCUUCUCUAAAACCAUUGAUUCUUCAGCUUUCUCUUCAAUUGAUGGUUCUUCAUGGUUUUUUUCAACUAUUGGUUCUUCAGUUUUUUCCUCAACGGAUGCAUAGUCAACAAUAUCAUUGUUGGUAUUGCUUGGAAUUGCAUCGUCUGUCAUGUCCUUUGAGUUUACUUUUGGCAUAUUCUACAAUAAAGUUUCAUGUAGUCUUUCAAUAGAUAAACAGAUGUAAAUUUGUUGCAACAUAUAAAGCUAAUAUGGUGGAUAAACUUUGUGACAGUGUUUAAUCCUCACCUUCUCCCGAAGAUCUUCCGCUUUAAGUUCCUCCUCUUCAAUUGCUGUUUUUUCAUCUUUCGUUUCAACAACUAGUUCUUCAGGUGCCUCUUCAGCCGUUGAUUCUUCAGGUUUUUCUUCAAGUGCCAGCUCUUCAGGUGUUUCCUCCUUUGCCAUCUCUUCAGGUGUUUCCUCCUUUGCCAGCUCUUCAGGUGUUUCUUUAGCUGCUGGUUCUUCAGGUUUCUCUUCAGCCGCCAGUUCUUGAGGUAUCUCCUUUUCUACUUCAGAUUUCUCCUCAACUGUUGGUUCUUCAGGUUUCUCUUCAUUAACUGGUUCUUUGGGUUUUUCUUCAACAGCCGAAUCUUCAGGAUUUUCCUCAAUGUCUGGAAAGUGAGCAACAUCUUUAUUGGUAUUGCAUGCAAUUUCACUGUCAGUUUUGUCGUUCAAGUCUACAAUUAGCAUAUUCUGCAAAAAGAAUUUGAUGUUUCAUUUAGCCUAUUAAUAAAGAAGCAGAUGUGAAUAACAUUACAUGCAUAACUUACAAAAUGGAUAAACUUUGUGAUGGUCCUUGACCCUUACCUUUCCAGGCUUCUCCUCUUCAACGGCCAGUUCUUGUUUCUCUUCAAAUGCUAGUUCCCUGGGUGUUUCUUCCUGUAUUGGUUCUUCAUGUGCUUCUUCAGGUACUGGUUUUUCAGGUUUCUCCUCAAUUGUUGGUUCUUCGAUUGUCUCCUCAACAGAUGGUUCUUCAAGGUUCUCUCCCGUUGUUGAGUCUUCUGGUUUCUCUUCAAUUGCUGGUUGUUCAGAAAUUUUCUCAACAGCUGGUUCUUCUGGCUUCUCCAAAACCAUUGAUUCUUCAGCUUUCUCUUCAAUUAAAGGUUCUUCAUGGUUUUUUUCAACUACUGUUUCUUCAGUUUUUUCCUCAACGGAUGCAUAGUCAACAACAUCAUUGUUGGUAUUGCUUGGAAUUGCAUCGUCUGUCAUGUCCUUUGAGCUUACUUUUGGCAUAUUCUGCAAUAAAGUUUCAUGUAGUCUUUCAAUAGAUAAACAGAUGUAAAUUUGUUGCACAUAUAAAGCCAAUAUGGUGGAUACACUUUGUGACAGUGUUUAAUCCUCACCUUCUCCUGAAGAUCUUCCGCUUCAAGUUCUUCCUCUUCAAUUGCUGUUUUUUCAUCUCUCUCUUCAACAACUUGUUCUUCAGGUGCCUCUUCAGCCGUUGAUUCUUCAGGUUUCUCUUCAAGCACUAGUUCUUCAGGUGUUUCCUCCUUUGCCAGCUCUUCAGGUGUUUCUUUAGCUGCCAGUUCUUCAGGUUUCUCUUCAGCUGCCGAUUCUUGAGGUAUUUCCUUUACCUGUACUUUAGAUUUCUCCUCAAAUGUUGGUUCUUCAG